GCUUAGCUGCGACCGUUCAUUGAUUUAAAUGUAUGGAAUAGUUUUUAAGUUUACUUAUCUCUAAGUGUUGGUGUUUUCAAGAUUGGAACCUUUAUUUUACACGUAAACUCAUUUCACAGUAACUUUGUGAAAAUUCUCGAAUACCAAUUAUACAUAAUCGUGUGAUUAGAAAGCGCAAGUUUAUAUAUUUCUCAAGAAAGCAAGGAUGCUGCUAAAUGGUUUUAUUACAUCAUUGAACAAUACAAAUAUUUUCAACAAAAUAUCACAAUUUCUUCAGAGCAGCCACAAAACUGCAACUUCACACGUUGUUGUUGAAGCAGCAUAAGCAUUAUCCAUACAUAUACGGAGAAUACUGCUGAAGUGACAGUCCAUGGCCGGAUAUAAAUCCGGUAACGUAGAACGUUAAAAAUGCUUAUUUUACCAAAAUGCUUAUGAAACCACGAUAGAAUCACAUUUGGUUAGAAUUUGAAUAUGCAUACCU